rnacentral:rRNA from 1 species
GACGAACGCUGGCGGCGUGCUUAACACAUGCAAGUCGAACGGAAAGGCCUCUUUCGGGGGGUACUCGAGUGGCGAACGGGUGAGUAACACGUGAGUAACCUGCCCUUGACUUUGGGAUAACUUCAGGAAACUGGGGCUAAUACCGGAUAGGAGCUCCUGCUGCAUGGUGGGGGUUGGAAAGUUUCGGCGGUUGGGGAUGGACUCGCGGCUUAUCAGCUUGUUGGUGGGGUAGUGGCUUACCAAGGCUUUGACGGGUAGCCGGCCUGAGAGGGUGACCGGCCACAUUGGGACUGAGAUACGGCCCAGACUCCGACGGGAGGCAGCAGGGGGGAAUAUUGCACAAUGGGUGGAAGCCUGAUGCAGCAACGCCGUGUGCGGGAGGACGGCCUUCGGGUUGUAAACCGCUUUCGCUCAUGACGAAGCUUUGUGUGACGGUAGUGGGUAAAGAAGCACCGGCUAACUACGUG